rnacentral:rRNA from 1 species
UACGGAGGGUGCAAGCGUUGUUCGGAAUUACUGGGCGUAAAGCGCGCGUAGGCGGUUUGCUCAGUCAGAUGUGAAAGUCCACGGCUCAACCGUGGAAGUGCAUUUGAAACUGGCAGACUUGAGUAUUGGAAAGGGUGGUGGAAUUCCCGGUGUAAAGGUGAAAUUCGUAGAUAUCGGGAGGAAUACCGAUGGCGAAGGCGACCACCUGGCCAAAUACUGACGCUAAGGUGCGAAAGCGUAGGAAGCAAACAGG